CCUACGGGCUGCACCAGUGGGGAAUAUUGCACAAUGGGCGCAAGCCUGAUGCAGCCAUGCCGCGUGUAUGAAGAAGGCCCUAGGGUUGUAAAGUACUUUCAGUCGGGAGGAAGGCGUUGAUGCUAAUAUCAUCAACGAUUGACGUUAUCGACAGAAGAAGCACCGGCUAACUCCGUGCCAGCAGCCUCGGUAAUACGGAGGGUGCAAGCGUUAAUCGGAAUUACUGGGCGUAAAGCGCACGCAGGCGGUUGAUUAAGUUAGAUGUGAAAUCCCCGGGCUUAACCUGGGAAUGGCAUCUAAGACUGGUCAGCUAGAGUCUUGUAGAGGGGGGUGGAAUUCCAUGUGUAGCGGUGAAAUGCGUAGAGAUGUGGAGGAAUACCGGUGGCGAAGGCGGCCCCCUGGACAAGGACUGACGCUCAGGUGCGAAAGCGUGGGGAGCAAACAGGAUUAGAUACCCCCGUAGUC
rnacentral:rRNA from 1 species